rnacentral:lncRNA from 1 species
AGCAUCCAGGCAGGACGGCAGCAGCUGAGCAGAGGAGAGAGGAGGAAUGAGUCCCCCGUUCUCACCCCGGGGAGCGGUUGCCUCGUGAGUCCAAGGAGAAUCCGCCCUUUCGUUUUGCGCAGGUGGAGAUCUCGCGGGCCCAGUUCGGAGUCCUGCAAACUGUGGAGGAGAUGCCGCUGUCCCGUCGGUCUGGGGACAGCCCAGCUCCCCGGAUCCCGGGCUGGAGAGACGCGUCGCGGCCCCGGGGCCUGGUGGCACGAGCAGGAAGGAGGACCCGGCGGCGGGCUCUGCCUGGGCUUGCCUGGGCUUGUUCCGAGCCGGGCUGCUUCUCGGUGACCACGCAGAUCGGGGGCAUUUGGAGAUUUUGCGGGAGUCCUGCAGCCAAGCUCCGGGGCAGGAGAGGCCUGGAAGCCUGCACUACCUGCUCGCCCCGUCCCAGCAUGCACCCAG